rnacentral:rRNA from 1 species
UACGUAGGGUGCGAGCGUUAAUCGGAAUUACUGGGCGUAAAGCGUGCGCAGGCGGUUUUGUAAGCCAGAUGUGAAAUCCCCGGGCUUAACCUGGGAAUGGCAUUUGGGACUGCAAGGCUUGAGUGCGGCAGAGGAGACUGGAAUUCCUGGUGUAGCAGUGAAAUGCGUAGAUAUCAGGAGGAAUACCGAUGGCGAAGGCAGGUCUCUGGGCUGACACUGACGCUCAUGCACGAAACGCGUGGGGAGCGGAACAGG